rnacentral:misc_RNA from 1 species
AACGCACAUUGCGCCCCUUGGUAUUCCAUGGGGCAUGCCUGUUCUAGCGUCAUUUAAACCCCCAACUUCUGAAUGUUGACCUCGGAUCAGGUAGGAAUACCCGCUGAACUUAA